AGCCACUGCUUUACCAAGAGAACUGAGAAGGGAAAAGGAACUGCUUUACCAGGAAAAGGCACUAACACACAAGAACAGAAUGCAAGAGACAACAGCACAUAAAGGAAACACCUAAAGGAAAACAUCAGUCUGCAAAAACGGCAUUGCUGGAAACGGGUGAACUAAUUAAAGAGGAGACCAAAACAAAGGUUUUCCCCUUCAGAGGUGCCAGGAAUGUCAACUCUACUCUUCCCUAGUUUUGCUGCAAGAUCCACUUGAUAUCUCAAAGAAUGUAUAUUGUUAACUCUUACACCCUAACUUAACGGAUGGAAGAUGGUGAAUCUUUACUGUUUUGGAGAAAGAAUAUUGCUAGUGAUUCAAGUUAAAAAGGUGUUAACAAAAAAAAUUUAAACAAUCAGACCUAUUUCCUGUUAUUUCAAUCUUGGCCUAUGUUUUCCAAACAUGGGUGCCUGAAGUUAGGUGCCAAAAACCAUAUUUAGGCUCCUAAAAUAAAAAGUGGUGAUAGGUACUACAGCUUCUGGUGACUUCAGUAUGUGAAGAGAGGAUAUUCGUGAAACCUACAGAAGAAUUCUGUGUAUGAGGUCAAAAUAUUGCAACACAUGGAAUAUUGCAACAGUUUGUAAAUGAUGUGAUAAAGAAGUAGCUGGAUAUGGGUAGGAGGCUAUUACAUCAAAUUCAACACAGAACACAGCCUAUAAACAAAAGAGAUCAUACUGGAUUAUUUCCUUCUGAAUGAUAAUUUUUAAACAAUAUGAUAUCAGCACUGGCCAUGGCCGUUAUGAGUUUCAGAGUGUACAGUUAAAAUGCUAAUGGAUAUGAAAAGGGAAACUUGGCAACCAGUAGAACACUGAUUUUUUUUUUAAACCAAAAUGUUAAUUUAGAAGGUAUACUUAUGUGCUGGUCUCUUAUUACCCUUGCACUACCAUGUGUCCCUAUUAUAAGCUUCUCUUUGUUUCUCACAGCUAAUACAAUGAAGGGGGAGGCAAUGGCAAAUAAUGGGCUGAGUGACAUCAGACUGAAAAUGCAGAUGUCAGACAAAACGGAUAUACAGCUUGGCUAACGAAGCCAGAGCCUGCAGCAAGAAGUUGUCAAUAAUGCUUUGCUAUAUCAAGUUAUUUAACAUUUACAAAAUUCACUGCAAAAAUUUACUGUUAAUGCAACAUCGUUGUUGAGAAUUUACAGUAUCUGCAAAGGAGACAGGAAAUUCAGACUACUCCAGCUUUACCUGUAACAAAAUGCUCAGCAGCUCAGGUUGCUUUGUGUGUGUCAUUCUGGUGCUCCAGUCACUCAGCUGGCUUGCCAUUGAAUAAAGAGUCCAAUUUAAGGUCUCCAGCUUCAUAUUCAAGCUCUCAGUGGAAUCAGCCCAAGCAACUCGAAAGAUUGCCUCUCCCCAGAGUCCUUGACCUCUCAUGCCAGCUGCAGUCCACCAGAAAUAUCAGACUAUCAACCAAUAGCUCCUA